UGGGAUUUCCUGAUCAUCUCAACUGCAGUUUGGCAUUUUUUCACCAGUGUUAUCCAGUCCUCAGGUGAAGCUGCUCUGUGUUGAAGAUGCUACAGACACCCAGCUGCAGAGCCCUGGGCCCAGGAGGCUCUAGGCACCGGAGGGGAGGUGAUCCAGGGGUUCUGCCACCUUCUCACAGACAGUCCAGUGCUUCAGGGCCCCUGCUGGUAAGAGGUCACUGUGGAGGAGAGAUAGGUAGGAGCUCCCACAGGAAAGCCAUCCUUUCAGGCAGUAUCUCAGUCUGUGCUUUUGCCUUUGGCUUUUUUACUUUGCAGAGAAUGUGUGCAGCCUCAGAGGGCUGGAGCCACCUGCCAAUUAGGUUUGAUGGUCUUCAUCUGUCCUUGUGAGUAAUCUCCUAGUACUACGAGGGUCAUCAAUUAAGGCUGGACCUUUCCCAGUUGCAGGUGCCAUCCAGCCUGCCUUUGGCCAAGGAGGAGCAUUGAGGUUGAGUUGGGGAGGUAGGGAGGAGGUCCUGGGGUCUCCCUUACUUUCAGAAACACCCCAUAACUUUUUUUCUCACUCCCCCAGGUACGGCACACGGUGAUGGCAGCAGCCUCCGACUGGGGUCGGAGCCAGUGGCCCGAGAACCUCUCAGCUCAGGGGAGGCGACCGAGUCAGUGAUCACAGGACCCUCUGAGCCAGCCGGGCGUCCUUCCUUCACAUCGAAGAUGGAUUCACAUCCCCAGCUGUGGGAAAGAUAAGUGGGGGACUCCCACCUGGAGAGGGGAUGAGAGCUGGGUCCAGUUUUAUGUUUAGGAGGGAGGGAUUGUCAAAUGAGCACAGGGGAAAGGGUCUGCCCUAACAGGCCCUUGGCACACACAGGAGGAGCAGUUUACUUUUCAUCAUGGAGUAGGAUGUGCAGGGCAGAGCUGUUCAGGUCUGUGU